CAGCCAACUGUGAAGCGUACAGGACACAAUUCGCGGGGCAAGGGCGCUACAUAGCGAUCCUACUGACACUUACAUUCUCUCCAGAGCCAGGACUCGAACAUACGACGACUGGCUUGAUAGACCAGCUGGGAGAUUAAAAAAACAAAACAGUCCUGUGUAUGAAGGCAGAAACAGGUCAUAGCAAUGUACCGCCUUCAUACACAGAACUUAAUAGCGUGUUGCGAGGUAGCAAAAGAGAGCGAUCAAAAAUCCACCACUUUACAUAUGCAACCCACAUCUGCUCAAGAAGCUAGGUAAAAGCAAAAUCAUUGUUUACAAGUCUAUAAUCUUAGUUGAAGAUUUCUUACACAAGAAAAACAACCAUGAUAGUAUCAUCGAAAUGAAGUCGCAUAGUUAAGUGUCCAAUGUAGAGAAGGGGCCAUGUUCAAGGAUACAUCGGAAACGUGAUGGCAAAACUUUAAUACAGUGAUCAACAGUUUGUGGUUCAGUCGCCAUGAAACGGGGCGUUUAGGUGACGGAAAGAAUCAGGAAGAUAAGCUUAUAUAGAAAAGGUACUUACGCCGAACUAUAAAACUACACACCAGUUGCAUUACUAAAAACAACUGACCAACGUUGAUUCAAGCAACAGUGUAAGAAAUAAUAAAUUUCUCACUUUUCGGUACAUCUGAUUUGAUCGUAGACGGAAAACAUAGAUAUUGUGAAGAUGUUCAGAUUCCAGUUUCCAGGAAUCUCAUUUUGUUUUGUU